UACUGCCUUCAAAGAACACCUUGUUGACUCGGUAGGUAGAGUGUGUGACUCCUGACCUCAGAGAUUACUUUUAAAAAAUUAAGAGAUCGGAAGAGCACAAGU